UCCCCAGCAGCAGAGAUGCAUCUGCCCACUGCGGGCGCUUUUCUUGCGGGGUGGCCCAGCCGUGCCCAGCCCGGGGCGAGGAUCCCCGCGGCGCCUCCGUGCCCCCCCCCCCCCGGCUGCCCUAGGUGCUUGUCCGUGCUGUGGUCUCAGGCGCCCUUGCUCUGAUCCUGCGCUCCACAAGGGCCGGGCCCACGCCUGCUUUGUGCACCCAGCCUGUAGUAGGUGCUCGCGGAACCCGGCUCCGGCUUUCUCCCCCGAGCAGCUGUAGGAGGUGGGAUUAUGGGAUAUGGAACAGCAGAGCCUCAGCUGGAGGCGUUCCCAAGAUAACCCGGCACGGAGGACUGGCACCGGCCCCGUCUGCCAGGAGGAGCGGGCAGGGGGCCAUGUGCAGGCCCAGACGUGCCGCAGGGGGCGGCGAGGGAGAGAGCAGCCGGCCGUCCCGCCACAGGUUCCCUGCAGCCUGGCCGGCCCCCCAGGCUGCUGCGAGUCCAUCAGGGCGCGCGGGCGGCUGCCAUGCGCCACCCUCAGGCCCGACCGCCUCUAUAUGCCCCCCAGCCGCCUGCACCAGCCUUUCUCUUCCCUCCGGGCCCUGCCGUCGGGUUUGCCCGGGCUGGGCUGUGCCAAGUCCAGCUUCGUGGAGCCUCAGAGUCUCCCAGCUGCCAGACCCCAGGCCCUUCCUUGCCCCACGGACUCUGGCCACAUGGGGACUCUCAGAACAGAGUGGCCACCCCGCCGGCCCCAUGCCCGGCCCUGCUGGUCCCUGGGCCGCUGGCUGCUCCAGGCCCCUGAGCCUCCUGUUGCCCUGCUCAAAGCAGCGUCCCCACUCACGAUGUUUUCUCCCCCGCACUCGGCACCCCCUGACCAACUGCACAUCGACUGGUUUAUUUUCCUCCAACUAGAAUAUUCCACGCAGGCAGGACGUGGUCUCCCGGCUCCGCUGGGAUCCCAGGGCAGCAGCCACCGGGUGCAGGCAGGGAGCCCUGCACACCCCUCCUGUCUUUGCAAAGCAGAGAGACAGAGGCACAGAGAGAUCUUGCACCCUGGUUCCCUCCCCAAGUGUCCACUACAGGGCGGGGCCAUCUGAGUCUCUGUCGUGAGUGGCGGGGGGAAGCACUUGAGCCCUCACCACUCCCUCCCAGGUGUGCGCUCCCCCCAGGGUGUGCGCUAGCACCGUACAAAGAACAGCCAGGACUUCAACCAGGCACUGCAGCCUGGCGUGUGGUCGGCAAGGGCGAGUUCUUAGCCCCACUUCACAGAUGGACAGACUGAGGCCCCGGGAACUGAAGCCCGCAGUGGGAAGCUGGGGCCCGCAUCUCCCUGCCAGGUGGGAGCUGGGGCGGCCAGCGCGACAGGGACUAGCCCUCUGGGAGAGAAGGCACCGCUCGCCAGACGCCACUUUCGGAAAAGACGGAAGGGGAAGCAAACCGAGCAGGACGUCGGACACCGGGGGCUGGCCCGGCCGGCUCCCAGGUCCCUCGCUGGGCCACAGCCACUGGGCGUGUGGGAUGCAGCGGCCGCAGCAGCCGCGGGCGCCGGGGGCCAGGACUUCGUUAGAAUGCAGCCGCGAGAUCACCGCCUGCUCUCGGAUGGCUGCGAGUGAUUGACACUUACAAAUUACCCAGCCGAAAGUGUCGAGUCUUUGACCCCUGAGUAACAUCUUUGGCAAGCCUGAGAUUUGCCGGCAUUUUGUCAUCUAAUUACUACAAAUCCCUUGAAAAUUCACUGGCUGGUGAAUGUUUAAUGCGCGCAAUUUCCAUGUGACGCCGGCCCAGAUGGGUUCCCGCGGCUCUCACCUCUCGCCCGCGCUCCCCUCUCCUCUCUCCUCUCUCCACUCUGCUUUUCCAGAGCAAACUUUGCCGGCGCCUGGCGGCACGACAGCGCCGGGGCGGAGCCCUGCCAGGUGCACGGUCUUGGCCUUGGCCCUGAGCCCUUUCGCACCUGCUCACCCGGCCUCCCCCAGACAACCUGGGCGGGCUCCCUGCACCCUAAGCACCUUGCUGCUCAGGUCUCCGGCUGCCCAGGCCCGGCCGGGCAGGGGAGCCACGGCCAACCCCCACGGGGCAGACCCCCGCUCUCUUCCACCCCUGCACUGGACACUGAACACCCAGGGCCUCCUCUGUCCCCAGACCCCGAGGGCAAAGCCGCACUCUCUGUGGCCAGGUGCCACGCGGACCGCAGGGGAAGCCAGGGCCUCCCAGCAGACAGGGGUCUGGACCCACCGCAGCAAAGCAAACCCCUAGCGAGAAGCGGCCCCCGAAGGGGAGAUGGCCCCCCUGCCCUGCGUGCUCUGUGAAUAUCUCCUGUUCUUUAUUUUCUUGAACUCGCCUAGGACUCGCGUCUGUCGGGUUCUUACGUCUAAACUCAGACCCGGCAAGCACCUGCGCGCGGCCGGCCGAUCUCCGGGCGACGCGUGUUCCCGGUGUUGACCCCGCCGGGGUCAGUCCCCUCCGCCCCCCCCCCCCCCGCGCCGGCCCCUAUUUAGGGAAGCGAGGAUCGGGUUUUCAGGCUCAAUUUCUGGUACAAAUUUUCACCGCGGAAAAAAUAUUCCACUUCACCCCUGGCCCCGUGGGACCCGCCGUCUUCCGGGACGAGGGCUUGUGCGACAGCCGCCGUGGCCCACUGCGUGUCGCCUGGAAACGCGGCGGUGGGGGGGCGGUCCUCGCUCCCGCGCCCUGGAUUCCCCGUCGCUCCUGUACCCGGGGCGGCCCGGCUUCCUCUGCGGCCCCCCCAGGGCCCGAUGGUCGCCUCCGUCCUGGGGCGGGGGUGGGGGAUGCCACCAAGGCCCGGCCCUGUGCCCCCCGGGGCUUCACGUGGGGCUGCCCUGGCCUGGGAGAAGCUGAGCGCGCCCCUCCUGCAGUGGGCAUUGGCGUCCCCAGCAGGUCGUUGUGGGGGGGGGGUGUGGCCCGGGGGUGGGGGGUUGGACCCAGACCCGCUGGAGGGCACUGUUCCCGCCACUCCCUCCUCGGGUGCAGCCUGUGCUCUGCACAUCUAGAAGAUUCCGGGGGCGAAUGGGGCACAGGGCAGUUUGCUCCACAGUCGUCCACAGCUGCCCGGAGUGGGGACACACGGCCAGUGAGGCUGGGCCACUGCAGAGCGCUCCCUCCAACCCCAGCUGCCUGAGGUUCCCCGCCCCCCGCCGCGAACCCUGAUGGGGUUCCAGGUUCCUGGCUUCAGCCUGGGUCAGCCCCUGCUGUUGCCGGCACUUUGGGAGUGAAGGUCGCCAGGGUGGAGCAGGGGCAACCACAGGGCCUUUGCACAGGCACUGAGGCUGGGCAUGGCGGUUUUCAGGCUGAGCCUGUUUCAGACACAGGCACACACGUGUGUCACGUGGGAAGCACAGCCAUGCGGUGGCCCCUUAGCACGGGCCAGCAACCCGGGGCCUCACUUCAAGGAAUGCAUUUUGGCUUAAAACCAAGACACUGUGCCAGUGGGGAGUUCUAUCUGUCCAGACGCCGGCUGUCCCGGCGGGAAUGAGGCAAAAAGGCGGCGGCAAAAUGUGGGACCAGCUUUCUGUCUCCUUUCUUCCAUGCCUCGGGCUCCUCUGCUCUCAUCGCGUUUUAUUUUGGAGGGAUGUGCACACAGUGUGUGUGUAGGUGCACAGGUGUGUGUGUGUGUGUGUGUGUGUGUGUGCCAGGGCUCCUCCGCAGCCAUUCCCUGCAUUGCCUGGAGUUUCAUGGCCACUCCCUGGGGACGGCUUCUAGACACUUUCCCCAGUGACUGCUCAGUGUGCCACAGUCAGUGCACCUGCUGGGCACUUGCUGGGAUGCCGGUGUGUGCCUGUGCACCUGCAUACAAGAGCCCCCACCCUCUGCCCCGGGCUGGGCCAGGCCAGAGGCAGGAGCUGGUGACUCAGUCCAGGUCUCCCUUGUGCCACCCCCGCUGUCCCCCCGCAUCUGCAGUAGCAGGAAGCUGGAGCCGGGACUCCUUUGUGGGGACCUUGCUGUCUGCUUCUCGCUCCCAUGUCUGACGCCUUUCAUUUGUCACCCACUUCUGCCACCAAACCCUUUUUUUUUUUUUGACAGGCAGAGUGGACAGUGAGAGAGAGACAGAGAGAGAGGUCUUCCUUUGCCAUUGGUUCACCCUCCAAUGGCCGCCGUGGCCGGCACACCAUGCUAAUCCGAUGGCAGGAGCCAGGUACUUAUCCUGGUCUCCCAUGGGGUGCAGGGCCCAAGCACUUGGGCCAUCCUCUACUGCACUCCCUGGCCACACCAGAGAGCUGGCCUGGAAGAGGGGCAACCGGGACAGAAUCCGGUACCCCAACCGGGACUAGAUCCCGGUGUGCCGGCGCCAAGUGAGCCAUGGCACCAGCCCAAACCCUUUUCAAUUCGAAUUUCUUUCCUGCCCUAGACCACACCCUGUGAAUGUUCUCAGACUGGGAGUCACCCUCAGGUCCCUCAGUCCCCAGACCUCUGCCCUCCCCAUGGGGAGCCUGGCCCAUCCUGGCCCUCUCACUGCCGCCUCUGGCCUGGAGCCCUGGGCUGGACCCCAGUUGUGCAGGAGAGUCCAGCACGUCCUCAGAUGGGCACCGCGUGCUCUCUCUUCUCAGAGGAAGUGGGAGGGAUUUUGCUGCCCUGCAGGGAGAGCUGUGUCCUGGCUGUGGGCCUCCGGCCUGCAAGGCCAGUCCCGUCCGUCUCGGCUUUGACGCUCUCCAUCUAUUCCCUGAAGAAAGGCCCCCCCGCUGUGAACCAGCCCAGUGCCAUCGGCCAAGAGUCCCCCUUUCCACCUGCUCCCCCGCCCCCCUUCCUCGUGGCCCCCCGGCGUCUUCCUCACUGCCCUCCCUCUGGGCCCCGGGUCUUUCAGCGUCACAAACUCACUCUGAUGGACAGAAGUCCCUGUCUGCCUCUUUCCUGAUCCCACUCGCGUCUCCAUUUGCUCGCUCUCUGCAGUUGGCACGAAGCUUCCGCCCAGUGCAGCGUGAUCACUUGAUGCCCCUGCCAACAGAAAACACGGUUCUAAGGAGCAGCCACUGCAGCUCCAGGAGCUGGUGAGAACGAGCGCCCCCUGGUGGCAAUGUUCAGCACCUCCAUGAGCUGCUGCAAUUCUGCUCCGCCCAGGCUUGCACAGCCUCCUUUGCAAGGUACACAAUCCCUAGCAGGCAGCUCCUGGAGGAACCCACUUGGGAGACUCCUAUCCCAGGGGCCAGCCGCAUACAGCAGUCCUAUAAAACUGUUUUUCCCACAUUAUCACAAGUGUACUGCGGACUUGGUGACCCUCAGGGGUGUUCGUGCACGGCUACUGCAUAGUCGGCCUGAUCCUGCCUCCACACCUUCCGCCAGCCACCUGUCCGUCUGGCCAGCACUUCUCCCAGGUGCUGCAUGGCCAGCCCCUCAGCACAGGUAGCACUGAGCACCUCCCGGGUCCGUCUGCACCACCAGGCAGGGAUCCAAAGAUCAGCGGUUCUCAAGCCCUGAGGGUCUCAGGACACUCACAUUCGUAAAAUGUUGAGAAUCCCAAAGAGCUUUUACGUCUGUAAAUUAUAUUGAUACUUAGUGUUUCAGAAAUUAACACGGAGACAUUUUAAAACAGUUCACUGGAGCCAGCGCUGUGGUGGAGCGGGUAAAGCCGCCGCCUGCAGUGCCGGCAUCCCAUAUGGAUAUGCCGGUUCGAGUCCCAACUAUUCCACUUCCGAUCCAGCUCUCUGCUGUGGCCUGGGAAAGCAGUAGAAGAUGGCCCGGGUCCUUGGGCCCCUGUACCCAGGUGGGAGACCUGGAAAAAGCUCCUGGCUCCUGGCUUCAGAUUUGCUCAGCUCUGGCCACUGCGGCCAUCUAGGGAGUGAACCAGUGGAUGGAAGACCUCUCUCUCUCUCUCUCUCUCUCUCUCUCUCUCUCUACCUCUCUAACUCUGCCUUUCAAAUAAAAUAAAUAAAUCUUAAAAAAAAAAUAAAAUG
ensembl:lncRNA